AUUGGUUGACCAAGGGUUAAUUAAUGCUUCUACACCAAGAGGUCUGGGGUUCGAGUCCCAGAUAUUACGAUUUAUUAAUAAAUUUGCAGAUUAAAAGAGGCAAGUGUGCAGGAGAUCUCAAGCGAAAUACAAUUAUAGCCGUUCACCAGGAUUCUACGCAGAGAGAGAAGUGUCGUCAGGUCGUGGAUCAUUGAAGGUGUUCGUCAAGAGCAUGGAGAAGGAAGUGUUGUCUGUCGUAGAUCUGACAAGGGUCGGAAGGAAUUGUCCGUUGUAGAAUCGUCUAUGUAACAGUUCUCGUAAUUUACAAUAAAUAAUAAAUCUAGACGUCAAAAAAAAAAAAAAAUCAAAUGAUUACAAGACUUGAGAGUUUACCAAACUCAAAGUUUU
rnacentral:lncRNA from 1 species